GACGAACGCUGGCGGCGUGCUUAACACAUGCAAGUCGAACGGAAAGGCCCUGCUCUUGUGGGGUGCUCGAGUGGCGAACGGGUGAGUAACACGUGAGUAACCUGCCCUUGACUUUGGGAUAACUUCAGGAAACUGGGGCUAAUACCGGAUAGGAGCUCCUGCUGCAUGGUGGGGGUUGGAAAGUUUCGGCUGUUCGGGAUGGACUCGCGGCUUAUCAGCUUGUUGGUGGGGUAGUGGCUUACCAAGGCUUUGACGGGUAGCCGGCCUGAGAGGGUGACCGGCCACAUUGGGACUGAGAUACGGCCCAGACGGCUACGGGAGGCAGCAGUGGGGAACAUUGCACAAUGGGCCGAAGCCUGAUGCAGCAGCGCCGCGUGCGGGAUGACGGCAUUCGGGUUGUAAACCGCUUUCGCCUGUGACGAAGAGGGAGUGACGGUAACGUGUAAAGAAGCACCGGCUAACUACGUG
rnacentral:rRNA from 1 species